CCUACGGGCGGCACCAGUGGGGAAUAUUGGACAAUGGGCGAAAGCCUGAUCCAGCAAUGCCGCGUGUGUGAAGAAGGUCUUCGGAUUGUAAAGCACUUUCGACGGGACGAUGAUGACGGUACCCGUAGAAGAAGCCCCGGCUAACUUCGUGCCAGCAGCCGCGGUAAUACGAAGGGGGCUAGCGUUGCUCGGAAUGACUGGGCGUAAAGGGCGCGUAGGCGGUUUAUGCAGUCAGAUGUGAAAUCCCCGGGCUUAACCUGGGAACUGCAUUUGAGACGCAUAGACUAGAGGUCGAGAGAGGGUUGUGGAAUUCCCAGUGUAGAGGUGAAAUUCGUAGAUAUUGGGAAGAACACCGGUGGCGAAGGCGGCAACCUGGCUCGAUACUGACGCUGAGGCGCGAAAGCGUGGGGAGCAAACAGGAUUAGAUACCCCAGUAGUC
rnacentral:rRNA from 1 species